GUCCUAGCCCUAAACGGUGCACGUUUGCUGUAAGAGGAAUCGACCCCUUUUGUGGCGAAGCUAACGCGUUAAACGUGCCGCCUGGGAAGUACGGCCGCAAGGUUAAAACUCAAAGAAAUUGACGGGGGCCUGCACAAGCGGUGGAGUAUGUGGCUUAAUUCGAUGCAACGCGAAGAACCUUACCUGGCCUUGACAUGCAUAUAGUAGAAGGGUGAAAGCCUGACGAGGUAGCAAUACCAGUAUGCACAGGUGCUGCAUGGCUGUCGU
rnacentral:rRNA from 1 species